CUUCCGGUCAUCGAGACUGUACAGUCUCGAUGACCGGAAGGAAUCCCUUCCGGCCAUCGAGAUUGCAUGGUCUUGAUGACCGGAAG
rnacentral:miRNA from 1 species